CGAGAAAGCCCGCAAGGGUGAGUAAAGCGGCGCACGGGUGCGUAACACGUGGGUAAUCUGCCCUAGAGUCCGGAAUAACUCGUCGAAAGGCGUGCUAAUGCCGGACGAGACCACGGGAGCCUCGGCUCCUGCGGGAAAAGGUGGCCUCUGUACACAAGCUAUCGCUCUAGGAUGAGCCCGCGGCCCAUCAGCUAGUUGGCGGGGUAAUGGCCCACCAAGGCUACGACGGGUAGCUGGUCUGAGAGGACGAUCAGCCACACUGGAACUGAGACACGGUCCAGACUCCUACGGGAGGCAGCAGUGGGGAAUCUUGCGCAAUGGGCGAAAGCCUGACGCAGCAACGCCGCGUGUGUGAUGAAGGUCUUCGGGUCGUAAAGCACUGUCGCGAGGGACG
rnacentral:rRNA from 1 species